rfam:Schistosoma curassoni strain Dakar, Senegal genome assembly, scaffold: SCTD_contig0014087
AUACAGCUGACGAGUUGGAAAUAAGAUGAAACGCUCGUUUUGAAU